CUGAGCAGUAAAAAAGCCGCCGCUGCAAAUUUCUCAAUCGGCGGUUCAGUAAAAGCUGCCGUCGUUGCCCACCUUCUCCGGUGCUCUGGUAGCGUCUUUUUCUCGAUUGGAUUGCCUUGAGAAGUGCGGUGUUGCUUCACUGCGAUGAAGACUGUCUGCAUCCUGAGUCCUCACACAUUGUUUGAAGGGACUACGAUGGACUCGCGGGCUCACCCCACCCACCACCACUCUUGCGACUUGUUUUUUCUUAUAUGCUGCUAUUAAGUGUUUCACGAUCUGAUUCGAUUUAUUUUCUUCUUCUUCUUCUUCAGAAUGGGAUUUCAUUUUAUUUAUUUUUCUUUUCUUACGUGCAAUUGAACUGUUUGAUGAUUUGCUUCAAUGGAAUUCCUUUUGUUUUCUCUCUAAAUUAGAGAUGUUAAUCAGAACUUUUUGGGAGUUUGGGUUGUCAUUUUUUGUAAUUGAGUUUUGUUUAUUUUUUGUGCCAUGGCAUUGUAAGAAGCUUGCGCUUGAGGUGGGUCUUGAAGAAGGGGGAAUAAAUGCUGUUUUGAUGCAGCAGAGUGGGACAAGGAAAGUGGUUUGCAUAUCACUGCAUGAGGGCAGUAACUAAGAGUUGACACCAGCAACUUUGGGAGUAUAUAAGAAAUUACUCUCUUUGUUUUUCGAAGUUGAUUGGCCAACUUUCGCCAGUAAACUUUGAAAAACAAAGAGAGCAGAUUUCUUUUGUUGAGAAAAAUGCUUAAACCACCGACUGUCUAGGCAAAGAUCCAGGAUAAGGAAAGUGUCCUACCACACCCGCAGAGGUUGAUAAUUCCUGGAAUUGGAAAGCAAUUGGAUAAUGGUUGUACCCUUGCUGACUACAACAUCCUGGAGGAGUCUACUCUGUACUUUGUUUGUGUCUAAAUGAUACAGAUUUUUGUGGCGACCUUGACCGGAAAAAUCGCCUUUGUAGGUGGAGCUUAAAUGCUAGCUAGCUUUUCCUAAUGGAGUCGGAUGCUGAAAAACAAACCAAGGAAAAUCCCAUUGAUAAUGUGAAUUGACGGGCUAUCUAUCAUUUACUACAAAAGUUGUCACAAUUUUACAGCUUAAUAUGGUGUUAGCAAUCAGACGACCAUAGCCCAAGGUCACACGAGCACACAUGGUUCUAAAGGUUUUGGGCUCGAAAAGUGGAUAUCAGCAUGAGUUAUAUGCGGCGUAAAGAGAAGUAGAACUAGAAAGAGGAGUAAUAUGUAAUUAAUGUCCAUAAAGGUCUACAAUUAAGAAUAUCAUACAUGUUACUUAAGACCAUGAGCUCGAUGUCUAGGACUUCUACAGGAAAAGUAGCUAAAAUAUUAUUUUUUGAGGACGAGGGAUGGGAUUUUUCUGCAGACAAUUUUGGGAAAAGAAAAGGAGAAGAAAUGCUUGACAGUUGGAUAUUACAAUGAAAUUUAAUCAAGGGGAAAACGCUGGGCACUACAAGGGAACAGCUUCAAAUUAGCAAUUAAACACAGAAAAGUAUAGAAAGUACCUUGCAAAAAUGGAACUGAAACCUCUCCCUGACCAACUCUGAAGACAUUUUCCUUCAAAGAGAAUGACCCAUGCCAAAAAAGAUUCAGAUAUAUAUGUUUGAUAUGUAAUCUAAUAUGGGCUUUUUAAUAAAGUAACCACCUUUUUGAACCAUAUUUAAGAAACUGGCCGUUUUUUUGAAUCUUUAUAUAAACUGGCCGAUAUUGACAUUUUCCAUCCCGUUUUUUUCAAAAAACGGAUUUAGGUAGUUAACUGGCUACGUGGCAGUUAACCUGCUAGGUAAAAGACAACUUAACCCUCGUCUGAGUUCG